UACGGAGGGGGCUAGCGUUGUUCGGAAUGACUGGGCGUAAAGGGCGCGUAGGCGGUUUAUUAAGUGAGGCGUGGAAGCCCUGGGCUUAACCCAGGAGGUGCGUUUCAUACUGAUAAGCUAGAGUGCGAGAGAGGAAAGUGGAAUUCCUAGUGUAGAGGUGAAAUUCGUAGAUAUUAGGAAGAACACCAGAGGCGAAGGCGGCUUUCUGGCUCGCAACCGACGCUGAGGCGCGAAAGCGU
rnacentral:rRNA from 1 species